GGAACAGCUGCCCCCUGGCUUCCCCUCGAUCGACAUGGGGCCUCAGCUGAAGGUGGUGGAGAAGGCACGCACAGCCACCAUGCUGUGUGCAGCAGGCGGGAAUCCAGACCCUGAGAUCUCUUGGUUUAAGGACUUCCUCCCUGUGGAUCCCGCCACGAGCAAUGGACGCAUCAAGCAGCUUCGUUCAGGUGCCUUGCAGAUUGAGAGCAGUGAGGAGUCAGACCAAGGCAAGUACGAGUGUGUGGCGACCAACUCAGCAGGCACACGCUACUCAGCCCCUGCAAACCUGUAUGUGCGAGUGCGCCGCGUGGCCCCUCGGUUCUCCAUCCCUCCCAGCAGCCAGGAGGUGAUGCCAGGUGGCAGCGUGAACCUGACAUGCGUUGCAGUGGGUGCACCCAUGCCCUACGUAAAGUGGAUGAUGGGGGCUGAGGAGCUCACCAAGGAGGAUGAGAUGCCGGUCGGCCGCAAUGUGCUGGAGCUCAGCAACGUUGUGCGCUCUGCCAACUACACCUGUGUGGCCAUCUCCUCACUGGGCAUGAUCGAGGCCACGGCCCAAGUCACAGUGAAAGCUCUGCCGAAGCCUCCGAUUGAUCUUGUGGUGACAGAGACAACUGCCACUAGCGUCACCCUGACGUGGGACUCUGGGAACUCGGAGCCUGUGUCCUAUUAUGGCAUCCAGUACCGUGCAGCGGGCACAGAGGGCCCCUUCCAGGAGGUAGAUGGCGUGGCCACCACUCGUUACAGCAUUGGCGGCCUUAGCCCUUUCUCAGAAUAUGCUUUCCGCGUGCUGGCAGUGAACAGCAUCGGGCGCGGGCCACCCAGUGAGGCAGUGCACGCACGCACAGGUGAGCAGGCGCCCUCCAGCGCCCCGCGCCGUGUGCAGGCACGCAUGCUGAGCGCCAGCACCAUGCUGGUGCAGUGGGAGCCGCCCGAAGAACCCAACGGCCUGGUGCGGGGGUACCGUGUCUACUACACUCCAGACUCCCGGCGCCCCCUGAGUUCCUGGCACAAGCACAACACGGAUGCGGGGCUCCUCACCACCGUGGGCAGCCUGCUGCCCGGUAUCACCUACAGCCUGCGUGUGCUUGCCUUCACUGCUGUGGGCGAUGGCCCACCCAGCCCCACCAUCCAGGUCAAGACACAGCAGGGAGUACCUGCACAGCCCGCGGACUUCCAGGCCGAGGCUGAGUCAGAUACCAGGAUCCAGCUCUCAUGGCUGCUACCCCAGCAGGAGCGGAUCAUCAAGUACGAGCUGGUGUACUGGGCAGCAGAGGACGAAGGCCAGCAGCACAAGAUGACCUUCGACCCCACCUCCUCCUACACUCUAGAGGACCUGAAGCCCGACACACUGUACCGCUUCCAGCUAGCUGCCCGCUCGGAUAUGGGGGUGGGUGUCUUCACUCCCACCAUCGAGGCCCGCACAGCACAGUCCACCCCCUCCGCCCCUCCUCAGAAGGUGACGUGUGUGAGCGCGGGCUCCACCACAGUCCGGGUAAGUUGGGUCCCACCACCAGCUGACAGCCGCAACGGCGUUAUCACCCAGUACUCCGUGGCCUACGAGGCGGUGGACGGCGAGGACCGCAGGCGGCAUGUGGUGGAUGGCAUCAGCCGUGAGCACUCCAGCUGGGACCUGGUGGGCCUGGAGAAGUGGACAGAGUACCGGGUGUGGGUGCGGGCACACACUGAUGUGGGCCCCGGCCCCGAGAGCAGCCCGGUGCUGGUGCGCACCGAUGAGGACGUGCCUAGCGGGCCUCCACGGAAGGUGGAGGUGGAGCCUCUGAACUCAACUGCUGUGCAUGUCUCCUGGAAGCUGCCCAUCCCCAGCAAGCAGCACGGCCAGAUCCGCGGCUACCAGGUCACCUAUGUGCGACUGGAAAGUGGCGAGCCCAGGGGCCCACCCAUCAUCCAGGACGUCAUGCUGGCUGAGGCCCAGGAGACCACCAUCAGCGGCCUGACCCCAGAGACCACCUACUCUAUUACUGUUGCUGCCUACACCACCAAGGGGGAUGGUGCCCGGAGCAAGCCCAAAAUUGUGACGACAACAGGGGCAGUCCCAGGCCGGCCCACCAUGAUGGUCAGUACCACGGCUAUGAACACCGCCCUCCUCCAGUGGCACCCACCCAAAGAACUGCCUGGUGAGCUGCUGGGUUACCGGCUGCAGUACCGCCGGGCCGAUGAGGCACGGCCCAACACCAUAGACUUCGGCAAGGAUGACCAGCACUUUACAGUGACUGGCCUGCACAAGGGGGCCACCUAUAUCUUCCGGCUUGCCGCCAAGAACCGGGCUGGCCUAGGUGAGGAAUUCGAGAAGGAGAUCACGACCCCUGAGGACGUGCCCAGUGGCUUCCCCCAAAACCUGCGCGUGACAGGACUGACCACAUCUACCACGGAACUGGCCUGGGACCCGCCAGUGCUGGCGGAGAGGAACGGGCGCAUUACCAACUACACCGUGGUGUACCGCGACAUCAAUAGCCAGCAAGAGCUGCAGAACAUCACUGCUUCCACCCGCCUUACACUUUCCGGCCUCAAGCCGGAUACCACUUAUGACGUCAAGGUUCGAGCACGUACCAGCAAAGGCGCCGGCCCACUCAGCCCCAGCAUCCAGUCCCGGACCAUGCCUGUGGAGCAAGUGUUUGCCAAGAACUUCCGUGUGGCAGCUGCGAUGAAGACAUCUGUGCUGCUCAGCUGGGAGGUCCCCGACUCCUACAAGUCGGCUAUACCCUUCAAGAUUCUGUACAACGGGCAGAGUGUGGAGGUGGAUGGGCACUCGAUGCGGAAGCUGAUUGCAGACCUGCAGCCCAACACAGAGUACUCGUUUGUGCUGAUGAACCGUGGCAGCAGUGCAGGAGGCCUGCAGCACCUCGUGUCCAUCCGCACAGCCCCCGACCUCUUGCCGCACAAGCCACUGCUUGCCUCUGCCUAUAUAGAAGAUGGCCGCUUCACCCUCUCCAUGCCACAUGUGCAAGACCCCACGCUCAUCAGAUGGUUCUACAUCGUGGUGGUGCCAAUUGACCGUGUGGGUGGGAGCAUGCUGGCGCCAAGAUGGAGCACACCCGAGGAGCUGGAACUGGACGAGCUUCUGGAAGCCAUCGAGCAGGACAGUGAGGAGCGGCGGCGGCGGCGGCAGGCAGAGCAGCUAAAGCCAUAUGUGGCUGCUCAGGUGGAUGUGCUCCCCAAGACCUUCACCCUGGGGGACAAGAAGAGCUACCGGGGCUUCUACAACCGGCCGCUGUCUCCAGACCUGAGCUACCAGUGCUUUGUGCUCGCCUCCCUGAAGGAACCCGUGGAUCAGAAGCGCUAUGCCUCCAGCCCCUACUCGGAUGAGAUUGUGGUGCAGGUGACACCAGCCCAGCAGCAGGAGGAGCCCGAGAUGCUGUGGGUGACGGGCCCCGUCCUGGCGGUCAUCCUCAUCAUCCUCAUUGUCAUCGCCAUCCUCCUGUUCAAGAGGAAGAGAACCCACUCCCCAUCAUCGAAGGAUGAGCAGUCAAUUGGGCUGAAGGAUUCCUUGCUGGCCCACUCCUCUGACCCUGUGGAGAUGCGGAGGCUCAACUACCAGACCCCAGGUAUGCGAGACCACCCGCCCAUCCCCAUCACUGACCUGGCAGACAACAUUGAGCGUCUCAAAGCCAACGAUGGUCUCAAGUUUUCCCAGGAGUAUGAGUCCAUUGACCCUGGACAGCAGUUCACAUGGGAGAAUUCCAACCUGGAGGUGAACAAGCCCAAGAACCGCUAUGCAAAUGUCAUUGCCUACGACCACUCUCGAGUCAUCCUCACCUCCAUCGAUGGUGUCCCCGGGAGUGACUACAUCAAUGCCAACUACAUCGAUGGCUACCGCAAGCAGAAUGCCUACAUUGCCACACAGGGCCCGCUGCCUGAGACCAUGGGUGAUUUCUGGCGGAUGGUGUGGGAACAGCGCACGGCCACUGUGGUCAUGAUGACGCGGCUGGAGGAGAAGUCCCGGGUGAAAUGUGAUCAGUACUGGCCAGCCCGUGGCACUGAGACCUAUGGCCUCAUUCAGGUGACACUGCUGGACACAGUGGAGCUGGCCACAUACACCGUGCGCACCUUCGCACUCCACAAGAGUGGCUCCAGUGAGAAGCGCGAGCUGCGUCAAUUCCAAUUCAUGGCCUGGCCAGACCACGGAGUUCCCGAAUACCCGACCCCCAUCCUGGCCUUCCUACGACGGGUCAAGGCCUGCAACCCUCUUGAUGCAGGGCCCAUGGUGGUGCACUGCAGUGCUGGCGUGGGCCGCACGGGCUGCUUCAUUGUUAUCGAUGCCAUGCUGGAGCGUAUGAAGCACGAAAAGACGGUUGACAUCUAUGGCCAUGUGACGUGCAUGCGAUCGCAGAGGAACUACAUGGUGCAGACAGAGGACCAAUAUGUGUUCAUCCACGAGGCGCUGCUGGAAGCCGCCACGUGUGGACACACGGAGGUUCCUGCCCGCAACCUCUACGCCCACAUCCAGAAGCUGGGCCAAGUGCCUCCUGGGGAGAGUGUGACCGCCAUGGAGCUAGAGUUCAAGUUGUUGGCCAGCUCCAAGGCCCACACGUCCCGCUUCAUCAGCGCCAACCUACCCUGCAACAAGUUCAAGAACCGCCUGGUGAAUAUCAUGCCAUAUGAAUUGACCCGUGUGUGUCUGCAGCCCAUCCGUGGCGUGGAAGGCUCUGACUACAUCAAUGCCAGCUUCCUGGAUGGCUACAGACAGCAGAAGGCCUACAUAGCUACACAGGGGCCUCUGGCAGAGAGCACCGAGGACUUCUGGCGCAUGCUAUGGGAGCACAAUUCUACCAUCAUCGUCAUGCUGACCAAGCUUCGGGAGAUGGGCAGGGAGAAAUGCCACCAAUACUGGCCAGCAGAGCGCUCUGCUCGCUACCAGUACUUUGUUGUUGAUCCGAUGGCUGAAUACAACAUGCCUCAGUAUAUCCUGCGUGAGUUCAAGGUCACAGAUGCCCGGGAUGGGCAGUCAAGGACAAUCCGGCAAUUCCAGUUCACAGACUGGCCAGAGCAGGGCGUGCCCAAGACGGGGGAGGGCUUCAUUGACUUCAUCGGGCAGGUGCACAAGACCAAGGAGCAGUUUGGGCAGGAUGGGCCCAUCACAGUACACUGCAGUGCCGGUGUGGGCCGCACUGGGGUGUUCAUCACUCUGAGCAUUGUCUUGGAGCGUAUGCGUUACGAGGGCGUGGUGGACAUGUUCCAGACCGUGAAGACCUUGCGCACACAGCGUCCUGCCAUGGUGCAGACAGAGGACCAGUACCAGCUGUGCUACCGUGCAGCCCUGGAGUACCUCGGCAGCUUUGACCACUAUGCAACGUAACCACUGCCCCCCCUCCUCCACCGCCCCCGCCGGGGGGCUCCGGAGGGGACCCAGCUCCUCUGAGCCAUACCGACCAUCGUCCAGCCCUCCUGCACGGAUGCUGUUGCUGGCAGAGCACAGCCCCCACUGGGAUCACAGCGUUUCAGGAACAUUGCCACACCCAUCAGAGAACCCAGACAGAACACCCCUGGGCAAGUGGGCGGAUGGCAGGCAGGCGCUGUGGCCCCUCUCUGUCCACCAAGCCCACCUGGAGCCCGCUUCAAGCUCUCUGUUCCGCUGCUGCGUUUCUCAUGCUUCUUGUCAUGGGGUGGGGAUGGGGGCAUAGCCUCCUUUUUUAUACAUUAAGUGGGGUAGAUUGAGGGAUUCUAGCCUCUUCCCUCUGAUUUUUCCUAUGGCAAAUCCUUAACUGUAGAAUGGGCCACCUUGGGGGCUGGGGCUUCUUUUCUUUUCUGAGUUCACUUCAGAUCCUUUUUUUGUAUGACUUUUACUGCUGAAGGACAGACCAUGCCUUCCUCAGUGGAGCUGGAGCUGCCACCAGCCUGAGCACAGGCUUGGCCGUGGGCCCCAGAGUGGGCACUGAUCCGGCCACUCUUCCAGCCCUUCAAACAAGAUCCUGUUUCAGCCAAAUGCAGGGAAACAAUUUUUUUUUGUUUUAUUUUGUUCUUCCUUAGCCUUUUUUUAGGCCCUACAGACAGUGGUGGGUGGGGAGGAGAUAGGAAACACUCAUCCCCAGUUGCCUAUUCCAGUGUGUGUCUAACAUUCACAGCCCAGAACCACAGAUGUGUCUGGGGGAGCCUGACAAGGCAUUCCUCAUCACCAUAGUGUUUGCAAAGGUUAAAAAACAAAAACCCACAAAAAUUAAAGAAAAAACAAACAAACAAACAAAAAACCCAAGGAAAAGAGAGUUGUCUCCUCAUCUCUGCUUAAAACCUGCAGGAGAGGAGGCAACUCCAUGUGCCUGGAGUUCCCCAGGGAGCUGCCAGGCUGACCCCUGGGCCCCAGCGCCUUGCUUUUGUCUCCAGCGUUGCGGUAUGCCAUGGUGUUUAUAGGCUGUGGAAUUGGGCCAUAUGGCCAAGGUGAAUGGCAUAGGUCAGGGUGUGUGUCAUGCCCCGCGCACCUCAGGGCCAAGUAGGGGCGUGGCUGCCCUUUCAGGUCCAGGCCAGUGGGCCUGGUAGCACAUGUCUGUCCUCAGAGCAGGGGCCAGAUGAUUUCCCUCCCUGGUUUGCAGCCAUUUUCAAAGCCCCUGAGAAUCACCCUUUUCCACUCUUAAGAUGCCCUCAUAAACCAAUGUGGCAAGACUACUGGACUUCUAUCAAUGGUACUAUAAUCAGUCCUUAUUAUCUUGGCUUGCUGAGGGGCAGGGAGAGGGCCUCUUCCUCUGGGCAGCACUAUCUAGAUAGGUAAGUGGGGGCGGGGAAGGGUGCAUAGCUGUUUUAGCUGAGGGACAUGAUCCAGACGUCCCCAAGUCUAGCUAGGCUCAGUCAAGAUCAACAAUCCAGGGUUGGUAAUGUUGGAUGAAACAUUCAUUUUUACCUUGUGGAUGCUAGUGCUGUAGAGUUCACUGUUGUACACAGUCUGUUUUCUAUUUGUUAAGAAAAACUACAGCAUCAUUGCAUAAUUCUUGAUGGUAAUAAAUUUGAAUAAUCAGAUUUCUUACAAA